rnacentral:tRNA from 1 species
GGGGACCAGCUCAGUUGGUAGAGCGCAGCGUUCGGGACGCUGAGGUCGUGAGUUCGAAUCUCACGUCUUCG